rnacentral:ncRNA from 1 species
GCAGGCGCGCAGCCUGUGCGUUCCGGACGAGGGAGCCGUACCCGGUAGCGCGACAAGACGGCCAGA